CAAAGGUAUCUUACUGGAGAUUCCUGUGUACCUGAGCCCUUUUGAAGAUCGUGGGGGGGAAGGGAGGAAAUGAAGUGCCCCAAUAAAGAGUGCCACAGCCCAGUGCCUAUUGUGUAGAUCCUGAGAGCAGUAAAGGCAGCAAAGAGAGGAGCUGCACACUCCAGGAUCAGAUCUGCUCAGAGGAGAAGCAGAAGGGUGAACUGAGGAUAUGACAGUCUCAUUUGUUGAAGUGACCAAAAAAGCACCUUGUUUGCUUUGAACCUUGCACAAAUGUGAAAAAUUUUUCUUGUGCUGCUUUCAGCGUAACCCUGCUCCAAGAACUAUACAGACUUGUAAUAGCUUCUGUUUAUGCAAUGUAACAAGCUGAGGUCAGUGGGAAAGUGUCAGCUGCAGCGUAUGACUGAGUUUUCACUGCAUCAUGGAACUUGGCACAGCCUUCUAAUGACAGAUAACAAACUGCAUUCUAUAGCUUUCGAAACCCUCAAAGGAUAUGUGGCUGGGAAAGGCUUGCAAAUGCCUUCCCUUGAUUAACAGUCACAAAACUGAAGUGAUCAUAAUUUAGUCCUAGCAAAGAGAUGUGCUUCUUUGUCACAGCAAUAAAGACACGAAAGCCCACAAACCUACACAAUAUACAGAAAUCAUCGUUAAAGAAAUUCACAGUCAUCAUGCCAGACACUAAAUGAAUUAUGUCUCUCAUUUCUUGUCUCACCACAGCUUCCUCCCACUUGGACACACAUGUUAGGCAUUCAGUUAACCUCAAGCAUAGCUCUCCUGGCCCUAUCGCUAUAUCUGCACUCCCCAUCACCAGGAUAUGUUAGACUACAUUUUUGCAAUGUAAAAAGAGUGACAUCACUUUUUUUCUUAAAGUUGUCUCUUAUAACACUUUAACUAUACCCAGCU
ensembl:lncRNA